UUAUGACAUUGACUGAGCUGCUUAGUAGCAGAGGGUCUGGACCAGCCAGACUAUUGGUAAUGUUGGUAUAUAUUAUGUAAAAUGGCAUCGGGUUUGCUAAACUUUCAAUGCUUUUUAUUUUUACAGGAAGAGAAAGAAAGAAUCUAUCAAGAGUGGAUCACGUGAUAUUAGUCCUCUUUGGUAAAGGAGGAGCUGGUAAGAGUACAGUCCUCGUCCACACGUCAAGGAGGAGGGGAUUCCCUUUGAAACUACUUUCAGACAAUACCAAGAGCUUUAAUCACCCUCUCACUUGAUCAUUGGACUUCGAGUAAUGAAUUUACCUUCAGUGGAAUCUGAUGAUAGUUUAGAGGAAGAAUUCAAGAUCACUAAUGAGGAGUUACAUGAUAGAAUGAAGUAUUUUCAUGUCUUACUCAGUCACUUCUGGAAGAGAUGGCACAACUCAUCGGCAACAAUAUUUCCUGCCAAUUUGCCCUGGAACAGUUACCUCAUUAGUAUUAAUAAUGUUACCCCACUUCAAAUAAAGGCUCUCCAGAAACCCUCAGGCUCAAUUUAGGUGUUAUAUUAACUUUGAUGUCCUUGCUCCUGGUCCCUUCCUUGACGUUCACCUCAAUGAACACGCCAUCUAUAGUCUGGGACCAAGAACCCCACAGGAUAGCACAUGGGACAAGACUAGAUUUUUCAUCAAAAUUUAUUAUUAAUAAAUAGCCGUUUUAUUAACUUUAUGGGUGUGUCCAAUCAAUUAAUUAAGUGAUAUUGAUAAUUAAUAGUCUGUGAAAUAAGUGAUAUUAGCAUUUAAGUGAUAUUAGUAUUUAGAGCUCAGCUCAUAAAUAGAACAGUUCAAUAAUUAUA